AAUAGAUACCCGGGUAGUCCACGCCGUAAACGAUGAGUGCUAGGUGUUGGGGGGACCCCCCUCAGUGCCGCAGGUAACCCAAUAAGCACUCCGCCUGGGGAGUACGGUCGCAAGACUGAAACUCAAAGGAAUUGACGGGGCCCGCACAAGCGGUGGAGCAUGUGGUUUAAUUCGAAGCAACGCGAAGAACCUUACCAGGGCUUGACAUCCCGCUGACCGGUGUAGAGAUAUGCCUUUCCCCUUCGGGGGACAGCGGUGACAGGUGGUGCAUGGUUGUCGUCAGCUCGUGUCGUGAGAUGUUGGGUUCAGUCCCGCAACGAGCGCAACCCUUGUUUCUAGUUGCCAGCACUUCGGGUGGGCACUCUAGAGAGACAGCCGGUGAAAGCCGGAGGAAGGUGGGGAUGACGUCAAAUCAUCAUGCCCCUUAUGUCCUGGGCUACACACGUGCUACAAUGGCUGGUACAAAGGGCAGCGAACCCGCGAGGGGGAGCCAAUCCCAAAAAACCNGUCUCAGUUCGGAUUGCAGGCUGCAACUCG
rnacentral:rRNA from 1 species